UUGACAUCCAGAGAAUUUAGCAGAGAUGCUUUAGUGCCUUCGGGAACUCUGAGACAGGUGCUGCAUGGCUGUCGUCAGCUCGUGUUGUGAAAUGUUGGUUAAGUCCGCAACGAGCGCAACCCUUAUCCUUUGUUGCCAGCACGUAAUGGUGGGAAACGUCAAAGGAGACUGCCGGUGAUAAACCGGAGGAAGGUGGGGAUGACGUCAAGUCAUCAUGGCCCUUACGAGUAGGGCUACACACGUGCUACAAUGGCGCAUACAAAGAGAAGCGACCUCGCGAGAGCAAACGGACCUCAUAAAGUGCGUCGUAGUCCGGAUUGGAGUCUGCAACUCGACUCCAUGAAGUCGGAAUCGCUAGUAAUCGUAAAUCAGAAUGUUACGGUGAAUACGUUCCCGGGCCUUGUACACACCGCCCGUCACACCAUGGGAGUGGGUUGCAAAAGAAGUAGAUAGCUUAACCUUCGGGAGGGCGUUUACCACUUUGUGAUUCAUGACUGGGGUGAAGUCGUAACAAGGUAAGCGUAGUGCU
rnacentral:rRNA from 1 species